CUAAAUAACAAUACAGGGUCCUUUUGGGUCCUGUAAUUGGAAUGAGUACAAUUUAAAUCCCUUAACGAGGAACAAUUGGCGGGCACAGUCUGGUGCCAGCAGCCGCGGUAAUUCCAGCUCCAAUAGCGUCUAUUACAGUUGCUGCAGUUAAAAAGCCCGUAGUCGAACUUCAGGCCGGGCCGGGCGGUCUGCCUCCCGGUACGUACUGUCUGGCCGGGUCUUACCUCUUGGUGAGCCGGCAUGCCCUUUACCUGGGUGUGUCGGGGAAC
rnacentral:rRNA from 1 species